UUGUAAUGUUGUACUUGUAACUAACUAUAACGCGGCGUGAAUGUAAAAUACAAAGACUUGCAAGUAACACACAUCUCUAUAGAUAUUCUACAAAGUGGUUCUAUAAAUUAAAAUGAAAUGAAUCAAUAGACUGAUUGAACUGGCCUUUAAUCACCGACGAUCAAACACCAAUAAAUUAAACCCAAAUUUCAUUGUGUUUUAGAUGCAGAUGAAAUAUUAGACACACAGAAGGAUUCAAGCCAGGGUUCAGUUAAGUCAACAUCAACAGGUGUCUCAUUAUCAUCAUCAACUUGCUCAGGUGAGUCUGUAAUCGCGUCUUUAUCACGAGUAUGUAAAGAUUCAGAUUCAGACGAACAAGAUCCACUUGAUGAUGUGUACCUGAUAACGGUCAAAAGAGAAAUUCCUUCUUUUAGAUUUUUCCGGUGCAAUGGUUAGAAGUAUCUGAACAACCUCACUCAUCGUCGGGCGGGCGUCUGGAUCCAACAACAAGCACUCCUUUGCUAAAUAAGCCAUCACCUGUAAUUCCUCUUCUUCAAACUUCCCUUUCAGACGUGGGUCCGGCAACUCUUUACUCACCCGCUUG
rnacentral:lncRNA from 1 species